rnacentral:rRNA from 1 species
UCUGGCGACCGGCGCACAGGUGAGUAACACGUAUCCAACCUGCCCUUUACUCGGGGAUAGCCUUUCGAAAGAAAGAUUAAUACCCGAUAGCAUAAUGAUUCCGCAUGGUUUCAUUAUUAAAGGAUUCCGGUAAAGGAUGGGGAUGCGUUCCAUUAGGUUGUUGGUGAGGUAACGGCUCACCAAGCCUUCGAUGGAUAGGGGUUCUGAGAGGAAGGUCCCCCACAUUGGAACUGAGACACGGUCCAA